rnacentral:misc_RNA from 1 species
GAUGAAGAACGUAGCGAAAUGCGAUAAGUAAUGCGAAUUGCAGAAUUCAGUGAGUCGUCGAAUCUUUGAACGCACAUUGCGCCCUGUGGUAUUCCGCAGGGCAUGCCUGUUCGAGCGUCAUUUCAACCCUCAAGCUCUGCUUGGUGUUGGGCCCUGCCCGCUGCGGCCGGCCCUAAAGACAGUGGCGGUGCCGCCUGGCCCUGAGCGUAGUACAUCUCUCGCUCCAGUGCCCGGUGGUAGCCUGCCAGAACCCCAACUCUCGUGGUUGACCUCGGAUCAGGUAGGGAUACCCGCUGAACUUAAGCAUAUCAAUAAGCGGAGGA